UGGGGAAUAUUGGACAAUGGGCGCAAGCCUGAUCCAGCCAUGCCGCGUGAGUGAUGAAGGCCCUAGGGUUGUAAAGCUCUUUCACCGGGGAAGAUAAUGACGGUAACCGGGGAAGAAGCCCCGGCUAACUUCGUGCCAGCAGCCGCGGUAAUACGAAGGGGGCUAGCGUUGUUCGGAUUUACUGGGCGUAAAGCGCACGUAGGCGGACUUUUAAGUCAGGGGUGAAAUCCCGGGGCUCAACCCCGGAACUGCCUUUGAUACUGGAAGUCUUGAGUAUGGUAGAGGUGAGUGGAAUUCCGAGUGUAGAGGUGAAAUUCGUAGAUAUUCGGAGGAACACCAGUGGCGAAGGCGGCUCACUGGACCAUUACUGACGCUGAGGUGCGAAAGCGUGGGGAGCAAACAGG
rnacentral:rRNA from 1 species